GUGGGGAAUUUUGGACAAUGGGCGCAAGCCUGAUCCAGCCAUGCCGCGUGCAGGAUGAAGGCCUUCGGGUUGUAAACUGCUUUUGUACGGAACGAAAAGACUCUGGUUAAUACCUGGGGUCCAUGACGGUACCGUAAGAAUAAGCACCGGCUAACUACGUGCCAGCAGCCGCGGUAAUACGUAGGGUGCGAGCGUUAAUCGGAAUUACUGGGCGUAAAGCGUGCGCAGGCGGUUAUGUAAGACAGAUUUGAAAUCCCCGGGCUCAACCUGGGAACUGCAUUUGUGACUGCAUAGCUAGAGUACGGCAGAGGGGGAUGGAAUUCCGCGUGUAGCAGUGAAAUGCGUAGAUAUGCGGAGGAACACCGAUGGCGAAGGCAAUCCCCUGGGCCUGUACUGACGCUCAUGCACGAAAGCGUGGGGAGCAAACAGGAUUAGAAACCCCAGUAGUCC
rnacentral:rRNA from 1 species